rnacentral:rRNA from 1 species
GGAGGAUGCAAGCGUUAUCCGGAUUUAUUGGGUUUAAAGGGUGCGCAGGCGGGGAUGUAAGUCAGUGGUGAAAUACUGCCGCUUAACGGUAGGCUUGCCAUUGAUACUGCAUUUCUUGAGUUUGGAUGAGGUAGGCGGAAUGUGCAGUGUAGCGGUGAAAUGCAUAGAGAUUGCACAGAACACCGAUUGCGGAGGCAGCUUACUAAACCAAAACUGACGCUGAGGCACGAAAGCGUGGGGAGCGAACAGGAUUAGAUACCCUGGUAGUCCACGCUGUAAACGAUGUUCACUCGCUGUUUGCGAUACACAGCAAGCGGCUGAGCGAAAGCAUUAAGUGAACCACCUGGGGAGUACGAUCGCAAGGUUGAAACUCAAAGGAAUUGACGGGGGCCCGCACAAGCGGAGGAACAUGUGGUUUAAUUCGAUGAUACGCGAGGAACCUUACCUGGGCUUAAAUGCAGGCUGCAUCGUCGUGAAAGCGGCGUUCCCUUUGUGGCUGCCUGCAAGGUGCUGCAUGGUUGUCGUCAGCUCGUGCCGUGAGGUGUCGGGUUAAGUCCCAUAACGAGCGCAACCCUUACCGUUAGUUGCCAACAGGUUAAGCUGGGGACUCUAGCGGGACUGCCACCGUAAGGUGAGAGGAAGGUGGGGAUGACGUCAAAUCAGCACGGCCCUUAUGUCCAGGGCUACACACGUGUUACAAUGGCCGGUACAGAGGGCAGCUACCCCGCGAGGGGGUGCUAAUCUUGAAAGCCGGUCUCAGUUCGGAUUGGAGUCUGCAACCCGACUCCAUGAAGUUGGAUUCGCUAGUAAUCGCGCAUCAGCCAUGGCGCGGUGAAUACGUUCCCGGGCCUU